rnacentral:rRNA from 1 species
AACCUGCCCCAUAGUCUGGGAUACCACUUGGAAACAGGUGCUAAUACCGGAUAAGAAAGCGGAUCGCAUGAUCAGCUUUUAAAAGGCGGCGUAAGCUGUCGCUAUGGGAUGGCCCCGCGGUGCAUUAGCUAGUUGGUAAGGUAAAGGCUUACCAAGGCGAUGAUGCAUAGCCUAGUUGAGAGACUGAUCGGCCACAUUGGGACUGAGACACGGCCCAAACUCCUACGGGAGGCAGCAGUG